rnacentral:lncRNA from 1 species
UUUGUGUUUUUCCACAAUGCCAGACUUUUACUGAUGCUAUUUCAAUCACAAAAGCCACGAACUACAUGGAGUUUCCAAGAAAGCAAUUCUCCUUAGUACUUCCCACUCACUCAGCACUCAGAGUCUUGGACACACAGGCUCAAGGCACUCCACAGGUCAAUCAAUAUUGCAAAUCAUGCAUAAUGGUAUACUUAAUCAACAUAUAUAUUAUAGAGUGAACAUUCCACAAACAAAAUAACAUUUAACAUUAAGAGAAAAGAGAUAGGACCCUUUUCUCCUUUAAGUCUGGAGCCCUCAGAAUCAUCUCCUUUCCUUCCUUUUUCCCUCUUUCCUCCCCCAAUUUAUUUUUUAAUCUUUGUGGGACAUGACUUCUAGGAAUGAGCCUUCCUAGCAACAUGGAACAUGACUUCCUAGGAAUGAGCCUUCCUAGUAACGUGAGACCUGAAUUUCCUGGAAUAAACCAUCCUAGCGACAAGAAACCAGCUCAAAAAAGGAGGAAAAAGCGAACUGAGGCCAGGAACACAUAUUCCUUUUAAAAUGCUUUCUCCAAAAGAUGUUAAAGAAAAAAAGGGGGAAAUGUGAAAGGAAAUUAAAUCUUGGGACCCCAGACUCAUUAAGCCAAAGGGAAAAGUCAAGCUGGGAAGUGGGUCACACAAACCUGCCUCCCGCUUUUGGUUCCUAAAUAAGAUGGCUACAAGAUGGAAAGCUACAUGCCUCCCCCAUAUUUUGCCCACAAGGAAAUUCCUAGUGAGGAAUUUUACUUUCCUAGAAAGGAAAAAAGAAAAGAGAUGAAAAAAUAUAUAUAGGGACUAGGCCAGAUUUAUAGCAACAAAAGGAAAGCAAACCUGGAAGCUGGGUCAAGCUUUAUUAUAUUACUGCCUCCUCAAUUAAAGCAAUUCUCUGGGCAAUCAUUACCUUAGCCCUUUCGGUUGCAUAUUGACUUAUUUGCAAACACGUACUAUAACAACAUUGUAAGCAGAAACAGGACAGAACAUAAAUUAUUCCUUCUAUUAUAAGCAAUAGCUUCUGCCACUAAAUUCCCCAGGAUCCAAACCAACCACUCAAGCAAUGGAUUAGUGAGGGUUUUGGAUCUGACAGUUGCUUAUCUGGGUUUUCAUACUGGUCAUAAUUCAGUUUAUGUUCUUUGAUUCAUCUGGAAUAUACACACAACAUUCAGUUUUUACGGUGGCACAGGUUCCCCUUGUGCUGCCAUGAGUAUAUCUAAAGCCACAUAGUUUUGCAACACAGCUUUCCUCAUAAGCAUGACCUCAUUGCUUAGCAAAGAGGUACUCAUGCAGCUACCAUUUAGGGCCUUUGGGUGUAAUUCGUUAUGGCCUCUAUAUGCCAUAUAACAUCUUCGAUACCUAUCUGUGGUACAAAGAUUGAAGCUAAGUGAUCAUAGCACUGGAAUACCAAACAUGUCCAAUGAGAUUGUAAAUGAAAAAGGUUUGCUGGUUUAAUGGAAGGGUCUGAAUUACUGGGCAACAUAUGGGGGAGGCAUGUAGCUUUUCAUCUUAUAGCCAUCUUAUUUAGGAACCAAAAGCAGGAGGCAGGUUUGUGUGACCCAGUUCCCAGCUCGACUUUUCCCUUUGGCUUAAUGAGUUUGGGGUCCCAAGAUUUAAUUUCCUUUCACAAUAUAUAUAAUCCAUAUUUUCCUUUUCUUUUUUUUCGAGAUGGGGGUCUCACUUUGUCACCCAGGCAUGAUCAUAGCUCACUGUUACCUGGAAUUCUUGGGUUCAAGGGAUCCUCCAGCCUUAGCCUCCCAAGUAGCUGUGACUAUAGAAGCAGGCCACGGUGCCCAGCUAAUUUUUAACUUUUUUGUAGAGACAGGGUCUCACCAUGUUGCCCAAGCUGGUCUCGGAACUCCUGGGCUCAAGUGAUUCUCCAGCCUUGGCCUCCCAAAGUGCUGGGAUUACAAGUGUGAGCCAUGGCACCUGGCUCCAUGUUUUCCACCAGAUUUUUUAACAUUGUAGGGGCCAACAGAAAAGUUCCCCUUUGCCCUCUUAAGAUUCACUGAAAAUUAACUAGCAAAAGGCAGAUUAAUAGGAGAAAAGACAUACAAAUUUAUUUGAUCAUAGUUUUACCUGACAUAGGAGCCUUCAGAAUGAAGACACAGAUGGGAAAUUGUCCAUUUAUAUGCCUAGGUUCAACAAAGUAUGGACAGCUAUGUAGAAAUAGGAUUGGACAAAAAGCGUACUGAUUUAGCGCUAAUAGACUGAGUGGGGAAACCCAGCGAGGCCUGUCUGUCUAGAUUCUUGGCCUCUCUCGGCAGCAUUCCUUCCUUCUGGGUAUGUACAGGACCGUCUUUGGAAUGGGGGUCUUAUGACCUACAAUCUAAAACAAAGUAGCUCAGAUAAUUUAUUCAGAGCCAGUUUUUACACAAAAGCAAGGCGGAAGUUAGAGUAGUUUUUUUUUUUUUUUUUUUUUUUGAGACAGAGUCUUGCUCUGUCGCCCAGGCUGGAGUGCAAUGGUGCGAUCUCGGCUCACUGCAACCUCCACCUCCCAAGUUCAAGUAAUUCUCCUGCCUCAGCCUCCUGAGUAGCGGGGAUUACAGGCACGCACCACCAUGCCUGGCUAAUUUUUGUAUUUUCAGUAGAGACAGGGUUUCAUCAUGUUGGUCAGGCUGGUCUCGAACUCCUGACUUUGUGAUCCACCUGCCUCUGCCUCCCAAAGUGCUGGGAUUACAGGUGUGAGCCACCGCGCCCGGCCUAGAGUAGUAUUUUACAUUUUAUGGCUGGCUUUGGGGAAAAGGGGUUCUCUCUAUGACCCACCUUGAGGAAAAGGGAUUCAGUGUCUGUGGCUAGGCUUGGGGAAGAAUGAAGGGCCAGAGACAGGAAGGCAGAAGGUCAGAGAGAAACUUUUGCUUCUGAGGCUGCUUCAGAGCCUUAAUUUGGGGUAUCAUUUUCUGAGCCCCAACAACAUGUUAAAGUCUCUGUCCAUUAGUUCAAACAUCUGGGUUUGAGUAGUUGGGGCUGAAGAACUCAAGUGUUCAUGCUUCAUCCUCAGCUUACAGCUGUCCUGCCUACCUGCACAGUGGUGACUAACUUUCUAGGCCUUUGCCCAUCCCCUAGAAAUGGAUGCUUGUUACUAGCUGCUUGGUAGGCUGGUAGCGGGGUAGAAGUAAAGGGGUUCUCUGUUGUUCUAAUUCAAUUCAGCCUCAGUCCUCAGCAGGCCCUGUGUGGGCCUUAGGAAUAGAUCUUUUCUCGGCAUUCUUGCCCCCCAAAACUGGGCAAGUUCAUUAAAUGAGUGUAAAGAGGAAAGAAGUGUGAGAAAUGAGAUUUGGUAUACUGCAAGGUUGGGAAGAUGGGAAAGAACUAGCAAAGAAUACGGAAGGAAACUUUCUAGCAGGGUAGACAGAAAAUUGUUACUGAAUUAAACUGGGGUCUGCUCACCCAGUGCCACAAAGCCAUUGACAUCAGGCUAGUAGCAAGAGAAAGUGAGGCAUUUUAUUGCAGGGCACCAUGCAAGGAGAAUUGCACAGAUCAUGCUUAAGACCCGAACUCCCAGAUGGCUUAAAGCUACGGGUUUUUAAAGGCAGGGAAAGAGAGGUUACAGGCAAAGUCAUAAAUCAAUACAUAGAGGCUAUACAUUGGUUUGACCUAAAAAGGUGGGACAUCUCAAAGCUGGGAUGGGGGUGGACUCAAAGGUCAUAGGUGGUUUCAAAGAUUUUUUGAUUUAUGAUUAAGGCGGUGAAGCUGUCUAAACUUGGGAUCCACAGAAAAGAAUGUUAGCUCUGGCCGGUGGACAUGACUUCCUCCAGGCCCCUCAGGAAGCAACUUAGAACAAUGAACAGUGGUCAGAGUUCAGUUCUCAGUUUCCCCUUAUCUGAGGUUUAAAGCUGGUGAGAGUUCAGGUUUCUGAAAAGUUGGGGACAUGUAUGUUACCCUUAGUUUCUAUAGGGAACAAAACAUCUCACUCUGACUUCCUUGGCUAUUGUGUUCAGCUACUUCUUGCUUAUCAGGUUGCUCAUUAACUUCUUUGGGCUAGCUAGGUGCCUAGAAUUCCCUUGAAGGAACUCAAGAUUUCCCUUUAUUUCCAUGCAUGGAGGGGCCCACAAGCCUCCUAAAAGGGGGUCCCUGCUCUGCCUCAAAACCAGGAGUGUUGUGUUCUGGAAACCAAGCAAAGCCUUUCAAGAAGGGAGAGAUAAACUGUCAGAUCUACUGAAAAAUUGCAUAGUUAAGGACUGAGAACUGACCCUGUAUUUAAGUGUGGUGAUUGCUGGUGACCUUGACAAGAGCAGUUUCGACCAAGUGGUGGCGGUGAGAGUCUAACUGGAAUGGGUUCAGGUGAGAAUGGAGGAACUGGAAGGUUGAAUUAGGGUUUUUUUUUUUUUUUUUCCCUUGAGACGGAGUCUCGCUCUGCUGCCCAGGCUGGAGUGCCGUGGCGUGAUCUUGGCUCACUGCAAGCUCCGCCUCCCAGGUUCACGCCAUUCUCCUGCCUCAGCCUCGAGAGUAGCUGGGACUACAGGCACCUGCCACCAGGCCCGGCUAAUUUUUUUUAUUAUUUUUAGUAGAGACGGGAUUUCACCUUGUUAGCCAGGAUGGUCUCGAUCUCCUGACCUCGUGAUCUGCCCGCCUCAGCCUCCCAAAGUGCUGGGAUUACAGGUGUGAGCCACCGCACCUGGCCAUUUUUGUUUUUUAAAAAACUUUUACUUAAACAGAGACAAGGUCUUGUUAGGUUUUCCAGUCUUGUCUCAAACUCCUGGCCUCAAAUCAUCCUCUCACCUCGGCCUCCUAAAGCGCUGGGAUUACAGGUGUGAGCGAUCAUGCCCAGUCAGAGUUAGAGGAGUUUUGCUGUACAGGGAGUGGAGAAAUGGAGUGGCAGCUGAAGAGGAGAGUGAGGCCAAUUUCUUUUUUAAGAUGAGAGAAAUCACAUGCUAAUGGAAAAGGGAAGGAGGGAGCUGCCGAUGCUAUCUGUGAAUAGGUAAGAGGAUGAGCUUCAGUGUUAAGAGGUGGGGCUGGGUUCCAACAGGAAGAGUAUGAAUAAUUCAUCUAAGUAAGAGGAGGGAAGGAACAGUUAUGAAGGUACAGAUGAAGGUGAUGAGUGGCCACUGGUGGAGUCAGACCACUGUGUAUAUUGUAAAGGAUAUCUUUAGAAGCAAUGACCCAGGAUAAAA